rnacentral:rRNA from 1 species
CCUACGUGGUGCAGCAGUGGGGGAUAUUGCACAAUGGGGGAAACCCUGAUGCAGCGACGCCGCGUGAGUGAAGAAGGAUUUCGGUAUGUAAAGCUCUAUCAGUAGGGAAGAAAAUGACAGUACCUGACCAAUAAGCCCCGGCUAACUACGGGCCAGCAGCCGCGGUAAUACGUAGGGGGCCAGCGUUAUCCGGAUUUACUGGGUGUAAAGGGAGCGUAGACGGUUAUGUAAGUCUGGAGUGAAAGCACGCGGCCCAACCCCGGGACUGCUGUGGAAACUGUGUAACUGGAGUACAGGAGGGGCAGGCGGAAUUCGUGGUGUAGCGGUGAAAUGCGUAGAUAUCAGGAGGAACACCGACGGCGAAGGCGGCCUGCUGGACUGAAACUGACGUUGAGGCUCGAAAGCGUGGGGAGCAAACAGGAUUAGAUACCCUUGUAGUC